AAAUGAAUAGGGUCUGUUGUUACAAAUCGCCACUGCAAUUUAAUCUAUUCAUGCAUAAUUGAAACGGUGUCGAUAAAACAAAAAAAUUCAAAAAAUACUUAUCUCAUUUACUUCUCUGGCAAGUUUGUUCGUAUUGAAAUCCUUUUUAUUUAAUCACGAACAUCCUAUUCUAUCAUAAAAUCGGAAACAUCAACAAACAUCAACUAACAAUGGUUUAAAACGUCGAGGGAAGAAAUCGUGAAAAUAUUAAAAGAUCUGACUUGGUCGGAUUAAAAGGAGGAUUCCGGCUUCUCGUCGGUGGUGCAUUUCUCUCGAGGUCGCUUGAGGAAGGUCGGAGGGAAAAACGUCUGGAAGGCCGUGUACGAACACUCGUUCGUUGAAGAUUUUCCAGAGCUACCGGUGCACGUCGAUUUCGUUCGCGUAAUUUUUCAGUAUUUCACCUCGAAUAUUUUCUGGCGAAUAUUUCCAGCCGAAUGUUCGCGAUAUUAACUCGUUAAGGACUAAAGUUACGUUAACGCGUCAUUUAAAGAAUUAGGACAUUGGCACUUUGAAUUAGAAAUGUAAUAGGU